CAAUGGCGUAAACAAAGGGAAGCGACCAUGUGAGUGAGAGCAAAUCCCAAAAUAACGUCUCAGUUCGGAUUGUAGUCUGCAACUCGACUACAUGAAGCUGGAAUCGCUAGUAAUCGCGAAUCAGAAUGUCGCGGUGAAUACGUUCCCGGGUCUUGUACACACCGCCCGUCACACCAUGGGAGUCAGUAACGCCCGAAGCCGGUGACCUAACCGAAAGGGAGGAGCCGUCGAAGGUGGGACCGAUAACUGGGGUGAAGUCGUAACAAGGUACC
rnacentral:rRNA from 1 species